rnacentral:rRNA from 1 species
GUUUGAUCAUGGCUCAGAUUGAACGCUGGCGGCAGGCUUAACACAUGCAAGUCGAGCGGAAACGAUGAUAGCUUGCUAUCAGGCGUCGAGCGGCGGACGGGUGAGUAACGCGUAGGAAUCUACCUAGUAGUGGGGGACAACAGUUGGAAACGACUGCUAAUACCGCAUAACGUCUACGGACCAAAGGGGGCUUCGGCUCUCGCCCUUAGAUUAGCCCAAGUGGGAUUAGCUAGUUGGUGAGGUAAUGGCUUACCAAGGCGACGAUCCCUAGCUGGUUUGAGAGGAUGAUCAGCCACACUGGAACUGAGACACGGUCCAGACUCCUACGGGAGGCAGCAGUGGGGAAUAUUGCACAAUGGGCGCAAGCCUGAUGCAGCCAUGCCGCGUGUGUGAAGAAGGCCUUAGGGUUGUAAAGCACUUUCAGUAAGGAGGAAAGGUUAGUAGUUAAUACCUGCUAGCUGUGACGUUACUUACAGAAGAAGCACCGGCUAACUCCGUGCCAGCAGCCG